rnacentral:sRNA from 1 species
UUGCUUUCUUGGUUCCUUGUUUGUGGGGUUAAUGGGGAUUGGUUUGGGGGGGGGUCCGCGAGGAGUUUUAAGGUACGGAUUCGUGAUUUGAUUAUGAUUAAUUCAGUGAAAUGGCCUGGGAAACGACGCCUUAAUAUGUGGAAAAUAUCGUGGAAGAGGGCGUUUCAGGACGGCUGGCUACAAAACAGUACUUGGACAUGGGCAGCCGGGUCACAGGGACCGGCCAUCAUGCCACCAGAGAUGAAUCCCUGGAUAUGUGCAGUAUAGGAUGUUAUCAGAAAACCAGGAACGGGUUUCGCGUUCGCCUCUGCCAUGCCUAUUCCCCACAUGUUUUCCGGCUCCAAAUAAGCUUUAGAGAUAGUAUCCAUGGACGGUUGGCCCCGGCUCUGCUAUUACAUCACAAUCCAG